CUACGGGAGGCUGCAGUGAGGAAUAUUGCGCAAUGGAGGCAACUCUGACGCAGCAACGCCGCGUGAGUGAAGACGGCCCGAUGGGUUGUAAAGCUCUGUAAGUGGGGAAGAGAAGGUUGCUAUAUGCAACUUGGACGGUACCCGCAAAGUAAGCUCCGGCUAACUCCGUGCCAGCAGCCGCGGUAAUACGGGGGGAGCGAGCGGUGUCCGGAUUUAUUGGGCGUAAAGGGCAUGUAGGCGGGACAGUAAGUCAGUGGUGAAAUGUAACGGCUCAACCGUUAACCUGCCAUUGAAACUACUGUUCUUGAGUUCAGGAGAGGGAAACGGAAUUCCAGGUGUAGCGGUGGAAUGCAUAGAUAUCUGGAAGAACACCGAAUGCGAAGGCAGUUUCCUGGCCAUGGACUGACGCUGAUGUGCGAAAGCGUGGGUAGCAAACAGGAUUAGAUACCCGUGUAGUC
rnacentral:rRNA from 1 species